AUGCCCCACCUCGCCGCACCUGCCUCUCCGCCGCCGGCUCCAAACCUUAUGUCCGACGCUCGCGAGGCUGCCUCCUCCUCGCCGCCGUCCGAAAGGGGGCGGAGGAAAGCGGUGGUGGUUGUUAUGGGCGCGACGGGCGCCGGAAAGUCCCGGCUUGCCGUUGACCUCGCGAGGCACUUUGCCGGCGUCGAGGUGGUCAGCGCCGACUCCAUGCAGGUCUACCGAGGUCUCGAUGUCCUUACUAACAAGGUCUCCCUCGAUGAGCAGAACGGUGUUCCUCACCAUCUCCUUAGCAUCGUCGAUCCUUCCGUGGAGUUCACUUGCCUCCAUGUUCAUUCUGAAUGGCCGCAGAUUAUAGAAGAUAUAUUGGAUCGUGGCGGCCUGCCUGUUGUUGUUGGUGGCACAAACUUCUAUAUACAGGCUCUUGUUAGUCCAUUCCUCUUUGAGGAUAUGUCAGAAGAUAUGCAGGGUUGCACUUUAAGUGACCAACUUGAUGAUAUAGGCCUUGCCACGGAUGAUGUUAGAAGUGGGUAUGAACACUUGAAGGAGAUUGAUCCUAUUGCGGCACAAAGGAUCCACCCGAACAACCAUCGAAAAAUAAAACGUUACCUUGAGUUAUAUGCAACCACAGGUGCACUACCAAGCGAUCUUUUCCAAGGAGAAGCUGCAGAAGACAAGUGGGGACGGCCUACUAGCUCCAGAUUUGACUGUUGUUUCCUGUGGGUAGACGCCGAGCUUCAUGUUCUGGAUAAUUAUGUCAAUGAAAGAGUCGAUUGCAUGAUUAAUGCUGGCCUGCUUGAUGAAGUGCGCAACAUAUAUAAUCCAGCUGGUAUGCUUGAUCUCCAUGAUGAUAAGCUGAAAAGCUUGUUGGAUGAAGCUGUCUCUCAGCUAAAAGCAAACACACGAAGACUUGUUCGACUCCAAAGACGGAGGCUACACCAGCUGAAUAAAGACUUCGGGUGGAAUUUGCAUCACAUUGAUGCAACAGAAGCAUUCCAAUGUACCACUGGUGACUCGUGGCACGUCAAGGUUAUAAAACCUUGCGCAGAUACUGUCAGAAGAUUCUUGUCUAACGAUACAACUUUGGCAAGUAAAGAUUCUACGAAUGAUGGUGGUGGAACUAGGUUGGCCUCAAGAGAGUUAUGGACUCAAUAUGUUUGCGAGGCCUGCGACAACCGGGUCCUUCGAGGGGCACACGAAUGGGAACAGCACAAGCAAGGCCGAGGCCACCGGAAAAGAACACAGCGUUUGAAGCGGAAGAGUAAGAUCAAGAGUACAUCGUCUGAAGCAGAAGUAUAA
rnacentral:rRNA from 1 species